CUGGGGUUCAAUUCUCCAUUUUUACAUUUCCCUGUGUGAUCUUUUGGGAAGAAGGACUUCCCCAAAGGAUCAUGAAAACAUAAUCAAUUUAAAGAUUACAAUAAUUUGAGGAUAAGAAAAAAAAGAACAAAACCAAUAAUUGCUGGAUGCAUUGACAAAAAACCAGUUAGGGGGCAGUCCCCUUUGGCAUGAAAGUAUACAUACAAAUAACUGUUCAAUCAAUCACACCCAAAGUUCAUUCUUGAUCUUCUUGUGCAGCUUGUGGUCUGGAGGCUUCUUCACGGUGUCUUCUCCAACAGUUCAGUUUCUGGAUUCAAAGAGGUGGAGAGCCGCGUCUCCUUGGAAGCAGAAGUAGGAAGAGAGUCGCAAUCUUUGCUCACAUCAGAUGUCUAUGUAACUUCUGGAAAUUCUUAUAAAGUUUCAAAUUUUUUCAUACCUAUUUAUCUUACAUGUGAUCUGUAAUUAAUUAUUUUGGAUGCUAUGAUUGUAAUUGUUUUGGGGCACCCAGAUAGAUAAAGAACUUAAAUAAUAAUUGUGGGAAUUCUGAUUGCUCUACCUUCUAGCCAUUCCCCCAUCUCCUUUUUCCUUUCACUUCCCCAUUCCUUGAAACACAAUAAAAUAAAUUAAUAACACUAUAAUUAAUUGCCU
rnacentral:lncRNA from 1 species